GAUAUGAUGGUUCAAUGGUAGAAUAACCGCCUUCCAUCUUAACGUGGUCGUUAGCGGUUGACCGGUGUUCGAUUCACCGUCAUGUCA